AUUAAAACAGUCAAACUAGAGUAUCCACCGAGUGGCCAACAAGCUAGUACUUCUUUUCCAAACGAUAUACAUCAACUCAAAUUUACAGGGAAAUUUUUAGAGUCGUUUUCGAGAAUCGCAUCACACCCACCUAUAAAGUUAUACUCCGAAAGUGUGACUUUUAAUAAUAUAUAUAAACCUUUAUGGAUGUUAGAGAUGGUUGCAUGGUCGUGUGCUGUGCGCAGCGAACUAUCGUCACGAAGGUCCCUAGUUCAAAACGUACUCGUUGCUAUCCCCGUAGGACAUAAUAAUAUACAAUACUAUUUUUGUUUUAUCCGACUGAAGGUCCACGAUCUGCACAACAAAAAUGUGACAAUGUCACAUUCUUUUAUCAUCACAAAGAUAAUAUUAGAGACUAUUAGGGCCUAAUUGUAAUACAAACCAAGGUACUCGUGUGUCAAUGUUGAUUAUAUGUACAUUAUUUAUUUGUAUUUAUUUCCAUAUGUAUUCAGUAUUAUUGAUUGGUAGGCUGACACAAAAUACAAUUCUUGUGGGUACAAAAAGUUUAUUCAUUAUCACAAUGUCAUAUUUAUUAUGCCUAAUAAACAGCGUAAACAAACAAUGAGAGAAAAAAAAAGUGCUUGAUAAAGGUGUAUCAUGAUUGCUGGUAGAACCUCGGUUAGAAUCUCUUUCUCUCUCUCUCUCUCUCUCU